AAACCGCUUAAUGUGUAUGAGGCUGUGUCUGCAUCGAGGGAAGAACCCAGCACUGAAAUGACACAAAUGAAAGAAGAGUACUUCUGCUCUGCUGGGUCUGCGACACUACUUAUCCGAGGAGUCCUCAAACAUCAGGAUGUAGGAAGACACAAGUAAAAGGAGAAGAAUGCUGCUCAGCUGGGUUGGCGAAGCUCUUGGAUAUCAUCAGCACAUGUAUGAAGCACAGAGUCAUUCCGGUAGGCACAGAGUUGUUCCUCGAUGGACGUGAUGACCUGGCACCAAAACCGCUUAAUGUGUAUGAGGCUGUGUCUGCAUCGAGGGAAGAACCCAGCACUGAAAUGUGAGUGUAUGAUCCAAUAAUUGUAAACAUGGGUGCCAGUUGUACUAUAUAUUUCACAGUAAAA